UCCUUGGUGGUCCAGUGGCUUAAACUCUGCACUCCCAAUGCAGAGGGCAUGGGUUCAAUUCCUUGUCAAAGAA
rnacentral:tRNA from 1 species